rnacentral:lncRNA from 1 species
UCAGUCACUUUUUUUUGUUGAUUAAACAACAUUAUUUAUCAUUAGAUAUCUUAACAAGUAAACAAAUACAUAGACUGUAAAAAAGAUCAUUUAGAAACUUUCUUCUAACAUUCUGUAGUACAAAAACAUUGGCGGCGAAGGCCACGGCAAUCGCCGCCAAUGAAUCCUUCCGUCUGGCAAACGGUGGCGCAGUUGCUGUCCCUACUACAUGGCCCCUUGAAACUGUGACUCUGUGGCUCACAAGUUCUUGCCUCUACACCACAGCUCAUAGGUCCCAUAUCUAUCAAUUAAUGUACGCAAACAUCAAAAAUCGAGAACCAUAUAUUAUCAAUAAAUAUUGGGAGAAGACAUAAGUAUUCCUUGACUAUGAUCGAAAUCUCAACAGAAUCUAUUAUCUCGUGAACUUAUUUUAUAUAUAUUCAGUGCCGGCUCUUGCCUUUGCAAAAUAAGGCAAUUUGGGGGGCCCAAAUUUUUAUCAUAAAUAAAUAUGUGUUAAAUUUUUAUAGAAAAAAUUGAUUAGUUACGAUAAAAAGUAUUACUUUUAAGAAGUAUAUAUUAUUUUACUCAGUUUAACAUAUGUAGUCUUUCAUUAAAAAUAAGAAUUUAUAGUGUUGAACAAAGAGAAUUACAGAUUCUUUUUUGUUUGUUUCAAGCAUUACAGCAAACAUAUAGAAAUGGGGUAAAUCAAGUCAUCAUUUUCUUGAAUCUCAUUUUGUGGUUUUAACUCUUAUCUUUAUUUAAUAUUUAUCAACGCUACUUAUAGGAUUAUGUUAGCAAUUCAUAUAAUAAUUAUCUCACUGAAAGGAUGUUUUUUCAAUAUUGAGUUGAUAAAAUCUUACCUAAAAUCAAUAACUGAAAAAACAACAUUAAGUACUAAUAAUUUUCAUUUGAAUAGUGUAAGGGAAAUUAAUUUUGAAUAAAUACGUAUACGAAGUUUGUUCCUACAUUUAUAUUUUAGGCCUCAAAUUGAAAUUUCAGAGCUCCAAUUGCAUUAAGUUGCCCUUAUAUAUAAUAUUAUACACCUUUUGGAUUAUGUGGCACACCCGUGACUCCACGCAGUUGUGGCGUGUGGGAGAUAUUUAAAUGCCACAUAAGCCGAAAAGGUGUACAAAUUAAAAUUACAAAAAAUUUAGUUCGGAAGGGUAAUAAGACCUUAGUAUAGAUAAGGUGUGUUUCUAAAAUUUGAGUCAUAUAUAGUCUCGGGUGGUACUACUACCUUUUACCACAAAUAUUUAAAUUUAUACAUCGUAUGUUAGUAAAAGUAUUUUAUGACACAUUGAAACUAUUAUUUUCUUCGUGAGUUUCAUAUUUUAACGAUUUGUUAUUUCAUUUAUAUACAUAACCAAACUAUCAAUGUGGGUCAUUUGUGUAACAACAGAGGUUAUAAGCCAUUUUUUUAUAUAUCAAUUAGAUUUUUCAGUAAUCCAAGUUCUUGCUAGUUAUCAAACUUUAAAGGUAGACUAAAUCAAAAAGUUAAAGAGUUAUAUUUAAACAUUUAUACUUAUAAAAAUUCUUAUACAUUAUUAACACAUAGAAUAAAAUUAAACUAUAUAAUAAAAUAAAUAUUACGAAGAAAGAAGGCAAACC